rnacentral:rRNA from 1 species
AUGAUGUGGUUUAAUUCGAUGCAACGCGAAAACCUUACCUACCCUUGACAUGUCUAGAAGUCUCCAGAGAUGGAUUCGUGCUCGAAAGAGAGCUAGAACACAGGUGCUGCAUGGCCGUCGUCAGCUCGUGUCGUGAGAUGUUGGGUUAAGUCCCGCAACGAGCGCAACCCUUAUCAUUAGUUGCUACGCAAGGGCACUCUAAUGAGACUGCCGGUGACAAACCGGAGGAAGGCGGGGAUGACGUCAAGUCCUCAUGGCCCUUACAUCCCGGGCUACACACGUGCUACAAUGGCAGGUACAGAGGGCUGCGAAGCCGCGAGGUGGAGCGAAUCCCAGAAAACCUGUCUCAGUCCGGAUUGAAGUCUGCAACUCGACUUCAUGAAGGCGGAAUCGCUAGUAACCGCGAAUCAGCAGGUCGCGGUGAAUACGUUCCCGGGCCUU